GAUGAACGCUGGCGGCGUGCCUAAUACAUGCAAGUCGAGCGAACGGACGAGAAGCUUGCUUCUCUGAUGUUAGCGGCGGACGGGUGAGUAACACGUGGAUAACCUACCUAUAAGACUGGGAUAACUUCGGGAAACCGGAGCUAGUACCGGAUAAUAUUUUGAACCGCAUGGUUCAAAAGUGAAAGACGGUCUUGCUGUCACUUAUAGAUGGAUCCGCGCUGCAUUAGCUAGUUGGUAAGGUAACGGCUUACCAAGGCAACGAUGCAUAGCCGACCUGAGAGGGUGAUCGGCCACACUGGAACUGAGACAUGGUCCAGACUCCUACGGGAGGCAGCAGUAGGGAAUCUUCCGCAAUGGGCGAAAGCCUGACGGAGCAACGCCGCGUGAGUGAUGAAGGUCUUCGGAUCGUAAAACUCUGUUAUUAGGGAAGAACAUAUGUGUAAGUAACUGUGCACAUCUUGACGGUACCUAAUCAGAAAGCCACGGCUAACUACGUG
rnacentral:rRNA from 1 species